CGAGGAGAUCAGCCCUGAUUUCCAGGUCACUUUAUUCGGUGAUCAGCACUGAACAUAGACCACAUAAUGGAUUUCGGUCUGAUUUUGGGUUUCCUUGUUGCUCUUUUAAAAGGUGUCCAGUGCGAGGUGCAGCUUGUGGAGUCUGGGGGAGGUGUGGUGCAGCCUGGGGCCUCCCUGAAACUUUCCUGUGUAGCCUCUGGAUUCACUUUUAGCAGCUACUGGAUGAGUUGGGUCCGCCAGGCUCCAGGGAAGGGGCUGGAGUGGGUUGGAGAAAUUAAUCCAAAUGGUGGUACCACAAACUAUGCACCGUCCCUGAAGGACCGAUUCACCAUCUCCAGAGACAACGCCAAGAACACUCUGUACCUGCAAAUGAGCAAAGUGAGAUCUGAGGACACGGCCACUUAUUACUGUACUACACACACAGUGAGGGGACCUCAGUGUGGACCCAGACACAAACCUCCCUGUGAUGCCGCUCAUGACCACCAGGAGGCGCACAGAGAACACAGAUUUGGAGAUGAUGCAGGCAAGAUCAAACAUGCCUCUGAGGGGCUGGGCUGAAGUUUUUCUAACAGU